UUUACGACCAGAGAAAAAUCGACGAGAACGAGAACAACGGAGUCCUGAAGAAAUUCUGCCCCCACCACCUGGUUAACAGCGAGUCCAAAGCCAACAUCACCUGCUUGGUCUACAGCCACGACGGCUCAGAGCUGCUGGCCUCGUACAACGAUGAGGACAUUUACCUGUUCGACUCCUCCCACAGCGACGGGGCCCAGUACAGCAAACGCUACAAAGGGCACAGGAACAACGCCACAGGUGA